GUGGGGAAUCUUAGACAAUGGGGGAAACCCUGAUCUAGCCAUGCCGCGUGAGCGAUGAAGGCCUUAGGGUUGUAAAGCUCUUUCAGAGGGGAAGAUAAUGACGGUACCCUCAGAAGAAGCCCCGGCUAACUCCGUGCCAGCAGCCGCGGUAAUACGGAGGGGGCUAGCGUUGUUCGGAAUUACUGGGCGUAAAGCGCACGUAGGCGGACCAGAAAGUCAGGGGUGAAAUCCCGGGGCUCAACCCCGGAACUGCCUUUGAAACUCCUGGUCUUGAGGUCGAGAGAGGUGAGUGGAAUUCCGGGUGUAGAGGUGAAAUUCGUAGAUAUUCGGAGGAACACCAGUGGCGAAGGCGGCUCACUGGCUCGAUACUGACGCUGAGGUGCGAAAGCGUGGGGAGCAAACAGGAUUAGAUACCCGGGUAGUCC
rnacentral:rRNA from 1 species